rnacentral:rRNA from 1 species
AUGGUGCCGCGCCGUGCGGUGGUCUGCACUGCAUUAGAACUCGACGUCCUUGAAGACCUUGCGCACCUGCUCGAGGGUGACGAAGAGCACGACGGUGAAGGGCCCCUGGCGCGACACCGUGGGGAUGAACCCCUUGUAGAGCGCCAUCACGCCCUCCGACCGCACCGUCUUGAGCGCGCAGUCCAGGGCCCCGGCGUACGGCGGGGGCGCGCCCGGCGCCACCUUCAUGUUCAUCACUCUGGUUUUGACCACGUCGACGGGGUUGGACGCGGCCGCGGCCACGAUGCCCGCGGCGAAGCUGGCGGCCACGUGCGUGCCCAGCCCGUCGGCGGCCGGGCCGCGGCGGGCCAGGAUGGCCUCCUUGGCCUGGUCGUAGGUCGCCAGCUGCGACGCGGUGACAAUCAUGGCGCGGUUGACCGUGAGCGCCGAGCCGCGCCAGAGGCUGCGCACGCCCUCGUCCCGCGUCAUCCGGGCGAUGGCGUCGCCCACGCUGCGGUAGUUCCGGCGGUCGGCCAGCGGGAGGCGGCCGUCGGCCUGCAUCCGCACCAUGGCCAGGUCGGCCGGGUUGCCGACGGCCGCGCCGACGCCGCCGGCGAUGAGGCCGGCGGCGAUCUUGCGGUGCAGCGGCAGCACGCCGGCGUUCUCCUGGGUCCAGCGUUUCUUGAGGAUGUCGUAGAGCCCCAUCCGCGUGGUGGAGUAGAGCGUCUGGCGCAGCAUGGUGGCCGAGAUCCCGGAGAAGAGGCCGGCGGCGCCCUCGGCGCGCAGGAUCUGCGUGCAGAUGCCUAUGGGGCCGGGCUUCGGCACCGGCGUCGGCGCGUGCGGGAGCGUCACGGUGUGCGCCCCGGCCUGGAAGGCGAGCGCCGGGCGGAGCGCGGGCUGCGGGACGGCCGCCGCCGCCGCGGACGACUCCCCCUGCAGCUGCAUCCGGACCUUGAUGAGGUCGAGCGGGUGGGUGGAGCAGCCGGCGACGAUGGAGGCGAUGCCGCCCUCGACGAAUCCCUUGACGCCCAUCUUCCCCCUCGCAGACGGACGAAUUCGAGACCCCCAAAGAUCUAG